UUCCCAAGUGACGAUGGCUUAGUUCGUAAAACAGAAAUUCGCGUUGUGGUUGAUGGAAAACCAGUGAAUUAUAUCAGACCAGUAACUGAAAUUGUUAAGCUUCUGUGAACAUGACUGAACUUCACAGUUUGCGCUUCACACAGUUCGCUUCUCGCAGUCGGCUUUGCGCGAUUAUUAGAGAUGAACAAUUAUGAUGUUUAUUGCAGAGAUAAUUGAUAAAUAGUUUAAAUAAGAGGUUUAUAUAGUGAUAUAUCUGUACAAUUUAUCAGGCAGGGAGUGUGAUGUCACAGCUUGAGAAAUGUAACCGCAAAGUCCGUUUCUGUUAUUUACUUGUCCGCGUUUUAGUCAGUAGUUUUUGACAAGAGUUAUCUUUCGUAACCUACUGGCAUGUGCGCAGUGCAAAAUUACUUUCAACUUCUUUCCUAGGCAUCUUCGUGGCCCCAUGGUCUUUUUACUAUAUGAAUAAAGACUAUCUGUGGAA